rnacentral:rRNA from 1 species
UGCGUAGGUGGUUAGGUAAGACCUGUGGGAAAGACCUGGGCUUAACCCAGGAAGGUCGCAGGUGACUGCCUGGCUAGAGGGCGGGAGAGGAGCGCGGAAUUCCCGGUGUAGCGGUAGAAAUGCGUAGAGAUCGGGAGGAAGGCCGGUGGCGAAGGCGGCGCUCUGGAACGUUCCUGACACUGAGGCACGAAAGCGUGGGGAGCAAACAGGAUUAGAUACCCUGGUAGUCCACGCCCUAAACGAUGGGUACUAAGUGUCGGCGGGUUACCGCCGGUGCCGCACCUAACGGAGUAAGUACCCCGCCUGGGGAGUACGGCCGCAAGGUUGAA